rnacentral:rRNA from 2 species
UACGUAGGGUCCAAGCGUUAUCCGGAAUCACUGGGCGUAAAGCGUGCGUAGGCGGAUGCUUAAGUGUAUUGCGAAAUCUUGUGGCUCAACCAUAUAGACUGUAAUACAUACUGGGUAUCUUGAGGAUGGCAGAGGCAAGUGGAAUUUGUAGUGUAGCAGUGAAAUGCGUAGAUAUUACAAGGAACACCAAUGGCGAAGGCAGCUUGCUGGGCCAUUUCUGACGCUGAGGUACGAAAGCGUGGGGAGCGAACAGG